rnacentral:rRNA from 1 species
CAUCUUGGCGGCUCCUUAUAUGCAAGUUGAGCGGACAGAUGGGUAGCUUGCUCCCUAUGUUAGCGGCGGACGGGUGAGUAACACGUGGGUAACCUGCCUGUAAGACUGGGAUAACUCCGGGAAACCGGGGCUAAUACCGGAUGGUUGUCUGAACCGCAUGGUUCAGACAUAAAAGGUGGCUUCGGCUACCACUUACAGAUGGACCCGCGGCGCAUUAGCUAGUUGGUGAGGUAACGGCUCACCAAGGCGACGAUGCGUAGCCGACCUGAGAGGGUGAUCGGCCACACUGGGACUGAGACACGGCCCAGACUCCUACGGGAGGCAGCAGUAGGGAAUCUUCCGCAAUGGACGAAAGUCUGACGGAGCAACGCCGCGUGAGUGAUGAAGGUUUUCGGAUCGUAAAGCUCUGUUGUUAGGGAAGAACAAGUGCCGUUCAAAUAGGGCGGCACCUUGACGGUACCUAACCAGAAAGCCACGGCUAACUACGUGCCAGCAGCCGCGGUAAUACGUAGGUGGCAAGCGUUGUCCGGAAUUAUUGGGCGUAAAGGGCUCGCAGGCGGUUUCUUAAGUCUGAUGUGAAAGCCCCCGGCUCAACCGGGGAGGGUCAUUGGAAACUGGGGAACUUGAGUGCAGAAGAGGAGAGUGGAAUUCCACGUGUAGCGGUGAAAUGCGUAAGAUGUGGAAGGAACACCAGUGGCGAAGGCGACUCUCUGGUCUGUACUGACGCUGAGAGCGAAAGCGUGGGGAGCGAACAGGAUUAGAUACCCUGGUAUCCACCCGUAACGAUGAGUGCUAA